CCGCGGCGCCCGGCGCCGUCCCCCGCCCCCCGCCCCUCCCGGUCGGCGCGUCCCUGCGCCCCGCGGGCCGGAGCCGCAGCCGAGCGCCCCCCGCGCCCCCCGCAUGGCGCCCCCCGGCCCGGGAGCCUGACGGACCCGCCGGCCUCGCGGGGCGCGCGGCGAUGAGACUGCGGGGCGCGCAGAGCCUGCGAAAACCCUCCUAUGACACAGAGACAGACCCGAGCGAGGGCCUGAUGCAUGUCCUGAAGAAAAUCUAUGAAGACGGAGAUGACGACAUGAAGCGAACCAUCAAUAAGGCCUGGGUGGAGUCGAGAGAGAAGCAAGCCAAAGGGGACACAGAGUUUUGAGGCUUCGGGUCCGAGUUGGGGGGCUCUGGCACCGCGGUAUAUGUAUUGCCGGUGAGGAGAUGGUGCAGAACCGCACCAGUAUGUUCGCCAACGGCUCACAGCCUGUUCUUAACUACUCAAGAGUUUAUUUAAGUAAUAAGCUUAUUGAAAACUUCCUACAAAGAUGGUUUCCAUAGUCCCCAGUUUUGUUCAAGAAAAGAUAAUACUGCAUUCUUGUGGGAAAUGUAAAUAAAUAAGUCUUACCUAAGGAAAAGGCCA